AGCCUUGUUCCAAAAUACUGGCGAAACGAUGUGCCUAUGCGAGACUUCUUUCGAGGUCACCGUGCUGGCCCUCGUUUGCCUGGCAAACAACGUGAUUGACUUUUUCUUAGGACUCGAGCGUCUGAAUCAACUACGAAGCAUUCCUCUCAUCGUCAUCAUACAUUUAGGCUCGCUUGCCGC
rnacentral:lncRNA from 1 species